CCUACGGGUGGCAGCAGUGAGGAAUAUUGGUCAAUGGACGAGAGUCUGAACCAGCCAAGUCGCGUGAAGGAUGAAUGUCCUAUGGGUCGUAAACCUCUUUUAUAAGGGAAUAAAAUGUUGCACGUGUGGGAUUUUGUAUGUACCAUAUGAAUAAGGAUCGGCUAACUCCGUGCCAGCAGCCGCGGUAAUACGGAGGAUCCGAGCGUUAUCCGGAUUUAUUGGGUUUAAAGGGAGCGUAGGUGGAUUGUUAAGUCAGUGGUGAAAGUCUGCGGCUCAACCGUAAAAUUGCAGUUGAAACUGGCAGUCUUGAGUACAGUAGAGGUAGGCGGAAUGCGUGGUGUAGCGGUGAAAUGCUUAGAUAUCACGAAGAACUCCGAUUGCGAAGGCAGCUUGCUGGACUGCAACUGACGCUGAGGCACGAAAGUGUGGGUAUCAAACAGGAUUAGAUACCCGGGUAGUC
rnacentral:rRNA from 1 species